GGCCCGCGCCGCCCCCUUCUUCGUCCUCCGCCCACGCUCGGCCACUCCUUCCGCCUUCCUCCCGCUCUGGCCUGCUCACUCCCUUCCUUCCCUCCACCUUCUGACUCCACGUUGCUCCCUUCUCCAAAUUCCCGGCCCUCCUACCAGGGGGCCCCUCUGGGUCGCCCUCACCUCUGCACGGCCCUCCCCACUCCCCUCCCCCUUCCCGGCCUCCCCUCCCUCGCCCGCCGCUCCCCGGCUCCCCGCCCCUCGGCUCGCCAUUCUUCUCCUUGAGCCGUGUGCCCCGCCCGGCCCCAGCUCCCUAGUUUCCCGCUCCCUUGCACCCUCGUCCCCAUUCCCGGCUCGGCCCUCGCUCCCCGCGGCCUGACCUGCAAUGGCGGCCAACAAGCACGGCGCCGCGCAGCAAUGGGCGACAACCGAACCUCCCGCCGCCGUCGCCGCUCCCGCCAGCACUUCCCGGGCAGAGCACCCGAGCACGGGCGCACGUGGGGCCGGGGCGGAGAGAGGCGAGCGCCGAGAGUGGCGAGCCGGAGAAGGGGCGUGAAACUACAUUUGGGGCUUCCCUGGUGGCGCAGUGGAUAAGAAUUGCCUGCCAAUGCAGGGGACACAAGUUCCAUCCCUGGUCCGGGAAGAUCCCACAUGCUCGGAGCAACUAAGCCCAUGCGCCACAGCUACUGAGCCUGCGCUCUAGAGCCCGUGAGCCACAACUACUGAAGCCCGUGCACCUAGAGCCCAUGCUCCGCAACAAGAGAAGGCACCGCAAUAAGGAGCCCACGCACCGCAAUGAAGAGUAGCCCCCGCUCGCUGCAAAUAGAGAAAGCCCUCAGGCAGCAACAAAGACCCAACACAGCCAAUAAAUAAAUAAAUAAAUAAACAUUUUUUAAAACCUA